rnacentral:rRNA from 1 species
GACGAACGCUGGCGGCGUGGAUUAGGCAUGCAAGUCGAACGGUAUCAUCCUUUCGGGGGUGAGAGAGUGGCGAACUGGUGAGUAACACGUAGGUUAUCUACCCUCAAGACGGGGACAACCCAGGGAAACUUGGGCUAAUACCGGAUGUGAGCAACUUUUAGUUGUUUGAAAGGUGGCGUAAGCUGUCGCUUGGGGAUGAGCCUGCGUCCUAUUAGUUAGUUGGUGAGGUAACGGCUCACCUAGGCAAUGAUAGGUAGGCGGCCUUAACGGGUGGUCGCCCACACUGGGAUUGAGAUACGGCCCAGACUCCUACGGGAGGCAGCAGUCGAGAAUAGUCUACAAUGGUCGGAAGACUGAUAGUGCGACGCCGCGUGAACGAUGAAUCCCUUCGGGGUGUAAAGUUCUUUUUAUAUGUGAGCAGUGCUUCUUAUAUUAACAGUAUGGGGAGAGAGAUAUUAGCAUAUGAAUAAGCAACGGCUAACUCCGUGCCAGCAGCCGCGGUAA